rnacentral:rRNA from 1 species
CAAAGCCUACGGGGGGCGCAGCAGUGGGGGAUAUUGCACAAUGGGGGGAACCCUGAUGCAGCGACGCCGCGUGGGUGAAGAAGCGCCUCGGCGCGUAAAGCCCUGUCAGCAGGGAAGAAAAUGACGGUACCUGAAGAAGAAGCCCCGGCUAACUACGUGCCAGCAGCCGCGGUAAUACGUAGGGGGCAAGCGUUAUCCGGAUUUACUGGGUGUAAAGGGGGCGCAGACGGCGAUGCAAGCCAGGAGUGAAGGCCCGGGGCCCAACCCCGGGACUGCUCUUGGAACCGCGUGGCUGGAGUGCAGGG